UUGUGAGUAAAAGAAGUGAGAAAAUCAGCAAGUUGUAGAAAAAAUAUAAUUUCCAGUGAUUAGUGAGUGUGAGUGAAGACAUUCGUGCAGUAAAACGUGUGAAAAAUGAAGUGUGCGGUCGUGAAUUGCUUCAACUCUAAGCACCGAAAUCCCAAUGGGGUGACCUUCCACAGGUAAGUUACAAUUUUCUUCUUUCUUUUGACGCAGCAAUUUUAGUGAAAAAUAGUGAGUGAAAGCUUAUUUAAUUGUGAAUGCGUGGGGGUGUAAUUUGUUCUAAGCGGCGAUUAAUAUGAAUAGAAAAAAAUUCUGAAAAAUGUGGAUACAGUGAAAAUCUUCCCGGCCAACAUAUUCGACAGGAUAGUAUUUAGGGAUUUCCAAGUAACUUGCAAGUUCGGGAAAUUUGGGCUACACGUCUAGAGCUCUCUAUGUCCCUUGUAGGGAAGGAUAAGUAUGUGUGCAGCAUGCACUUCAGGCCAGAAGAUAUCAAACAGAAAAAUACUUCUAAAACGCAGCGCUUCAAAUAUGUGCAUUUUUUUGGAUCCAACUGCUCUUCCGAUUGACUUAAGGCAGACACAAGCAGAUUCUGGUGUUCAUCUUGAUGACAAUGCACAGCUUGGGAGUCAUAGUUCGAAAAUCUACGCUACAAUGGUAGAACUCCAAAAGUCAUCCGUCAGCGACUACAGUGCCAUGGACGAUGAUUGCGACGAAGUCGAGUGGAUUGAAUUCGAAGAUGACAUAUCGGAGCCAUGCAAUACGGCCAGUGAUUCGAUAAUUAUACAACCUCAGAAGGAGCAUUUCCACCGUUUAGCUCUGGAGGUUGGUCAGCAACGCUCAGAUGGCGGUGGCCGCAAAUAUUGCUUUCUGAUUAACUUUUCUUUAUGUCUGCUUUCAAGAGCACUUGCUCAAAACAUGUAUUGAUAUUCAAAAUUAAAAAAAAAACUUAAAUCAUACAACAAAAUGCAGCAAGAUUUCUGUAAAAAAGAAUUGAAUAUGCAAGUCUUAUUGAAAAAUCUGAUCUGUAACAA